GACACCGCGUGGAGGACGAAGCCCUUCGGGGUGUAAACUCCUUUUCGGAGGGACGAAUAAGGCCAUCAGGAAAUGGGUGGCCGAUGACGGUACCUCCGGAACAAGGGACGGCUAACUCUGUGCCAGCAACUGCGGUGACUGAGCGGGCUGGCAAGGCGCAUA
rnacentral:rRNA from 1 species